ACGGGGAGCAGCCCAGAGCCUGAAUCAGUAUGUGUGUUAGUGGAAGCGUCUGGAAAGGCGCGCGAUACAGGGUGACAGCCCCGUACACAAAAAUGCACAUGCUGUGAGCUCGAUGAGUAGGGCGGGACACGUGGUAUCCUGUCUGAAUAUGGGGGGACCAUCCUCCAAGGCUAAAUACUCCUGACUGACCGAUAGUGAACCAGUACCGUGAGGGAAAGGCGAAAAGAACCCCGGCGAGGGGAGUGAAAAAGAACCUGAAACCGUGUACGUACAAGCAGUGGGAGCACGCUUAGGCGUGUGACUGCGUACCUUUUGUAUAAUGGGUCAGCGACUUAUAUUCUGUAGCAAGGUUAACCGAAUAGGGGAGCCGAAGGGAAACCGAGUCUUAACUGGGCGUUAAGUUGCAGGGUAUAGACCCGAAACCCGGUGAUCUAGCCAUGGGCAGGUUGAAGGUUGGGUAACACUAACUGGAGGACCGAACCGACUAAUGUUGAAAAAUUAGCGGAUGACUUGUGGCUGGGGGUGAAAGGCCAAUCAAACCGGGAGAUAGCUGGUUCUCCCCGAAAGCUAUUUAGGUAGCGCCUCGUGAAUUCAUCUCCGGGGGUAGAGCACUGUUUCGGCAAGGGGGUCAUCCCGACUUACCAACCCGAUGCAAACUGCGAAUACCGGAGAAUGUUAUCACGGGAGACACACGGCGGGUGCUAACGUCCGUCGUGAAGAGGGAAACAACCCAGACCGCCAGCUAAGGUCCCAAAGUCAUGGUUAAGUGGGAAACGAUGUGGGAAGGCCCAGACAGCCAGGAUGUUGGCUUAGAAGCAGCCAUCAUUUAAAGAAAGCGUAAUAGCUCACUGGUCGAGUCGGCCUGCGCGGAAGAUGUAACGGGGCUAAACCAUGCACCGAAGCUGCGGCAGCGACGCUGAUGCGUUGUUGGGUAGGGGAGCGUUCUGUAAGCCUGCGAAGGUGUGC
rnacentral:rRNA from 1 species